AACGUCUGGUGAUGAUGGCGAAGAGGUCACACCCGUUCCCAUGCCGAACACGGAAGUUAAGCUCUUCAGCGCCGAUGGUAGUCGGGGGUUUCCCCCUGUGAGAGUAGGACAUCGCCAGGCAGA
rnacentral:rRNA from 1 species